rnacentral:rRNA from 1 species
UACAGAGGGGGCAAGCGUUAUUCGGAAUUAUUGGGCGUAAAGGGCGCGUAGGCGGCUUGCUAAGUCGGACGUGAAAUCCCUCGGCUCAACCGGGGAACUGCGUCCGAUACUGGCGAGCUUGAAUUCGGGAGAGGGAUGUGGAAUUCCAGGUGUAGCGGUGAAAUGCGUAGAGAUGUGGAGGAACACCGGUGGCGAAGGCGACCUCGC